UACGUAGGUGGCAAGCGUUACCCGGAUUUACUGGGUGUAAAGGGCGUGUAGGCGGGACUGCAAGUCAGAUGUGAAACCCAUGGGCUCAACCCAUGGCCUGCAUUUGAAACUGUAGUUCUUGAGUGAUGGAGAGGCAGGCGGAAUUCCGUGUGUAGCGGUGAAAUGCGUAGAUAUACGGAGGGACACCAGUGGCGAAGGCGGCCUGCUGGACAUUAACUGACGCUGAGGCGCGAAAGCGUGGGGAGCAAGCAGG
rnacentral:rRNA from 1 species